rnacentral:snRNA from 1 species
CUGCUCACUUUGGCAGAACAUAUACUAAAAUUAAAACAAUACAGAAAAGAUUAGUAUGGCCCCCAUAAAAAGAUGGCACCCAAAUUUGUGAAAUAUUCAAUAUUUUU